rnacentral:rRNA from 1 species
AUUGAACGCUGGCGGCAGGCCUAACACAUGCAAGUCGAACGAGUGGCGGACGGGUGAGUAAUGUCUGGGAAACUGCCUGAUGGAGGGGGAUAACUACUGGAAACGGUAGCUAAUACCGCAUACCAUCAGAUGUGCCCAGAUGGGAUUCGCUAGUUGGUGGGGUAACGGGUCACCAAGGCGACGACCCCUAGCUGGUCUGAGAGGAUGACGAGCCACAGUGUAACUUAGACACGGUCCAGACGCCUACGGGAGGCAGAAGUGGGGAAGAUUGCACAAUGGGCGCAAGCCGUAUGCAGCCAUGCCGCGUGUAUGAAGAAGGCCUUCGGGUUGUAAAGUACUUUCAGCGGGGAGGCGUUACCCGCAGAAGAAGCACCGGCUAACUCCGUGCCAGCCGCGGCGGUAAUUC